rnacentral:rRNA from 1 species
UUAGGAAUAUUCGUCAAUGGAGGAAACUCUGAACGAGCAAUGCCGCGUGAAGGAUGACGGUCCUAUGGAUUGUAAACUUCUGUUGUUAGGGAAGAACGACUUAAGUAGGAAAUGACUUAAGAGUGACGGUACCUUUCAAGAAAGCUCCGGCUAACUACGUGCCAGCAGCCGCGGUAAUACGUAGGGAGCAAGCGUUAUCCGGAUUUAUUGGGUGUAAAGGGUACGUAGGCGGCCUCAUAAGUCUGUGGUUUAAGUCCGAAGCUUAACUUCGGUUCGCCACAGAAACUGUUUGGCUUGAGUAUGGUAGAGGCAAGUGGAAUUUCUAGUGUAGCGGUUAAAUGCGUAGAUAUUAGAAGGAACACCAGUGGCGAAGGCGACUUGCUGGGCCAUUACUGACGCUGAGGUACGAAAGCGUGGGGAGCAAAUAGG